AUUGUGUGGCUGGACUCGGCCGCCCCUGUGGUGUGAGGCGCGUGUUCGGGCUCUUGCCGUCCCCGCACCCGCACCGCGGUUACUGGCUUGCGGUCCGCCGUUCGACAACCAGCCCUUGGGUCCCCGCCCGCCACGGACAUGCCGCGCGUCUACAUAGGACGCCUGAGCUACAACGUCCGGGAGAAGGACAUCCAGCGCUUUUUCAGUGGCUAUGGCCGCCUCCUCGAAGUAGACCUCAAAAAUGGGUACGGCUUCGUGGAGUUCGAGGACUCCCGCGACGCCGACGACGCCGUUUACGAGCUGAACGGCAAGGAGCUCUGCGGCGAGCGCGUGAUCGUAGAGCACGCCCGGGGCCCGCGUCGCGAUCGCGACGGCUACAGCUACGGAAGCCGCAUGACCAAUGGGGCUGAGGCUGUGUCCACUGAGGCUAAGAUGACUGCCUUUCCUGAUUGGCCUUGGCUUUUCCAUACAUUGUGUGACCCUUGCCCUAUGACCCUUUGGCUGACCUUACCGGAAGCCAUGACGACAGCAGCCUUUUGCCAUUAGACGCAGGGUGAUGGUGAGGAUUCCAAGGGUUAGACAAAACUGGUUAAUCUGAACUAGGUGACUGUUACCUUGCGUGUUUUGUGGCCAAACCACCACCAAAAACCUCACACUGUGAUGUGGUGGAGGUGGAUACAGCAGUCGGAGAACAUCUGGCAGAGACAAAUACGGACCACCUGUUCGUACAGAAUACAGGCUUAUUGUAGAAAAUCUUUCUAGUCGGUGCAGUUGGCAAGAUUUAAAGGAUUUUAUGCGACAAGCAGGUGAAGUAACCUAUGCGGAUGCCCACAAGGAACGAACAAAUGAGGGUGUAAUUGAGUUUCGCUCCUACUCUGACAUGAAGCGUGCUUUGGACAAACUGGAUGGCACAGAAAUAAAUGGCAGAAAUAUUAGGCUUAUUGAAGAUAAGCCACGCACAAGCCAUAGGCGAUCUUACUCUGGAAGCAGAUCCAGGUCUCGAUCUAGAAGACGGUCACGAAGUAGGAGUCGCAGGAGCAGCCGCAGUAGAUCUCGAAGUAUCUCAAAAAGUCGCUCCCGUUCCAGGUCGCGGAGCAAAGGUCGAUCACGUUCUCGAUCAAAAGGCAGGAAAUCUAGAUCAAAGAGCAAAUCUAAGCCCAAGUCUGAUCGGGGCUCCCAUUCACAUUCUCGAAGCAGAUCUAAGGAUGAGUAUGAGAAAUCUCGAAGCAGGUCUCGGUCCCGAUCCCCUAAAGAAAAUGGAAAGGGUGAUAUAAAGUCAAAAUCCAGAUCAAGGAGCCAGUCCCGUUCCAAUUCGCCGCUACCUGUUCCACCCUCAAAGGCCCGUUCUGUGUCCCCUCCACCAAAAAGAGCUACUUCAAGAUCCCGUUCUAGAUCUCGCUCAAAGUCAAGAUCAAGGUCCAGGUCGAGUUCCAGAGAUUAACUCAGAACUCCUUGUUUGCACAUUAUUAUGGAACACUUUCCUACUUAGGCAGUUACUCUUCCAUGUUUAUACUUGGCCUCUUCUGCAAGAGGAAUCUCUUGAAAACAGGGGCACACAGAAAUUUGAUUUGUGGCCAAAUUGGAUGAAAAAGAUGAGGCUCUAAGGAAAUGGUGGCAUGAAGACCCUCUCCCUUCUUUGUAGAAUUAAGAUAACUUUGAUUUUAUAGCUUUUGAGCUAACGUAACUUUUGUAAAGAUUAAGCUCAUUUAGUGUUGUUUUUUUUUUUUUUUUUUUUUUUUUUUUUUUUUUUUUAGUAUUUCAGCAGGAUCUGCUGGCAGGGUUUUUUUGUUUUAUUUGUUUGCUUAUUUUUAAAUUAACUGUUUUGAGCUUUGAAUACUUAAGGCUUUAGAGGGAGAACCCAAUUUUCAAUUAUGUUGGCUUUUUAUAAAGCUUGAGUUAUGUAAGAUUUAAAUAAAAGUUUGCUACCAAGAUGAUUGCCUUAUUGAAUAGGUCACUAUUAAAUUCCUUUAAAUGUUGAUAUCUGCCAUUUGUGGAAACAACGUAAAUUCUACUUAAGUGUAAACAAGGCAAGCCUCAGACCAGCAAUAAAUUACUCAGUUUGGAUAACAUUAUUUUGUGCAGUUAAUCAAAUUUGCCAAAGUCUUUAUCUGCCCCUUUAACAAGUUGAGUAAAAAUAAAAGGUAUUUUUUAGUCAAUGUGUUCCAUGAUUUUGCUUAAAUUAAUACUUUUAAGUAAUGGAACUUUUUUCAAAGGCAAAUUUAAACUAUUUAAGAAAUAGCUCCUAAUACUUGGGAUCUUGUUUAGAGAAUCCACUUUCUGGAAGUUCUCAGCAUAAUUAGUGUUGAGAGUGGUUCAGUUGUCUUUAAUGUUUGUCAUGUGGAAAUGGAAGUAGCCUCUUUUUGUUCUGAAAUUGAGUUUAUUCAAAGUGUAAAAGCACAUACUGCAUUUUCUGCUGAAAGAUCAUUAUGUUUAACAGGCACUUAAUCUCAGUAAAGUCAGUUGCCAGUUAAGUUCCACCCAGUAGUCAGUCCCCUUUGUAGUUAGUGGGAUUAUUUGAUAAUUGGUUAGAUCAUACUUGUAAAUUUUAAUGCUUUGUGUAAUUGGUUUGAAAAACAGUGAAAUGGGUAAACGCAAAACUUUUGUACUUUAUUACGAGUAAAGUGUAAUGAGUACUGUGGAAACCAAAUUUGAAUACUGCAAAUUUGUAGGAGUUACUAGGUUAGCAAUUAGUCCAUACAUCCAUAAGCCUGAUGAGUUGAAAUUGCAGUUUGAGAAGUGAAUUAACCUUACAUCCCUUUGUUCAGAUACCUUAAAAGUUACUUUAUUUAAAAGCAUUUAUUAAUCUUAGUCUGAAAUCAAAAUAUAGAUUAAUUGGCUCAGCUUUAAUACCUUUCUAGGAGGUGUCACAAUGUAGGGUACCAAGGGUUGGAUUGUGAUGGGGCAUGGUCGUACACUGCUCAUUGUGCCACAGGUGUGACUGGAAAGCAUGAUAUUCUAGGGUUGGUUUGUAGAUUCAAAUAAUCCAGAAAUAUACCUAAUAAGAUUGAGUGAAAAAUUUGAGUCAAAUAUCUAGGGCAUUCACAGAGUAGCUGUGAGUUCUUGGUAAUGUGAAAAAGGCCUUGUUUUUCAGAAAUUCCUGGGUUUCCUGUUAAAAAAUCUUAAAGCCCAACCUUAGGAAUAUAGUGCCCCAAAAGGCGGAUGCUUCUUCCAUUAUCUUAUUUUCUUUGAUACUUUAUUUAAUUAGAUGUUUAUAAAGAAAUGGGUUUAUUUUUCCAGCAUAAACCUCAGAAUUUAAGGAAAGAAAAUGAUGUCUGUUGUUAUAGUUCAUUGUUUUGCCUACUCAGCAGAAGUGAUGACUCUUAAAAAUUGGCUUUGACCAAAGUUCUCUUGUUUUCAGGGAAAGAACAUAAAAGCUUUUUGAACUACAGCCUUUUUAAAAGAGGGAUGGGAGGAUAUUACAGUAAGAAAUUAGGCUUUCUAAAAGUAUGAAACAUCCUUCAACUGGGCUCUCUUGUUAAUAGGACAUCAUAUGGUAAUAGACUGGUUUGACUAUAUUGUUAGCUGCCACAGUAAGCAGGUCAUUGUAUAGGUAAAUGCCUGCACCCAUAAUUUUCUAGUAAUAGCCACGACCAAUUUAUUAACAGUCAGGGCCUAUCCUUGCCUGUAGUUCUCAGUCACUGGAUGCACAAAAUCACUGUGUAACAUUGGCUCACUUGGUGAGCAUAGGGUUGACUGAUAAAAUGUUUAAUUCCCUUGCUAGCUUGUGAGAAGAAUGAGUUGAUGACAUGCUCCAUACCAGUGGCUAGAUGGAGUAUUAAGGUGGAGCAGAAAAGAAGUGAGAACAUCUUGAUUCCCCUUUCUUUUACUUGAUGGUGUUUAUGAACAUGCCGUAGUGCCUUUAUGGCCAGUUUGAGUCCUGCCUACUUUGACUUUUACGUUCCCAUUCCUGUGUUACCACCUUCCUCCCGAUUUGUUCACCUAUUUUGUGCUUUAAAUCUCAAUAAAAUACUUACUGAGGGAAAGGCUUGUUUUGAGUUUAUUGCAUAUGCCCACUUAGGACCAGAUUCUUAACAAAUGUUUUUUUGAAUUGGAGUUUGCAUUGGCAAGCCAUUCCUGUCUUGAGUAUGAGAACAGGAUCUUGUGUUCACUUACCCAGAAACGUGAGUUUGGGAUUUAGUAUAUGGUUUAUGUUGGGCAACUCAUUAAUCACUGUGCUUCAGUGUCAUCCAUGAAACUAGGGAUAAAACAUGCAUGGGAUGUGAAGAUUAAAAGUCAAGAAUAUGAACAGUACAAGAGAGUACCAUAACAAAUACAAUUUUAUUUACAAAUAUACAUGGUUGGACCAUACCUUGGAAUCUACUUGCUAAUGCAGCUGCUGUUAACAGUUCUUGUAUCUGCUCAAGAGAUUUCUAUGAUCAUAUAAAAAUGCCUUUUUAGGUUUUCAGUGUUCAUGCCCUGAGUAGUAGUCUGCAGUUUGCUUUAAUACAUGGUAAUACAGAGAUCGGCUUUAAAUGGCUGGCUGGUUACUGUUGAAUGAAUGUAUGAUAAAUUUUUUUUCAGAACCAACAGUGUGAAUAAUCCUUUCAGUUGUCUAUCAGCAUGAAUUUAAAAAUUACUUUCAAGAUUCAACAUUACACAAUAAAACUUAGAGUUCUUGCAA